AGCCCGGGGUUAGGGCAUUUCGUUGUCACCUGGCGACGGUGAAGCCUGGUUUCCUCCAGAGAGAUUAUGCUGCUCUCCAUCCAAGUGAAGUGGCAAUGGUGCCAGCCUGAGAUUUCUGCCCUGAGUUUUAAGUACGAGAGUGUGGGCUGACAAUAAACUCCUUUAUUCUACCCUCUUCUGUUCUCAUAAGGAGAAAUUUAAAUUCUGGAAGAGAUGAAGCUUGCAUUUACCCAGGCCUGUUAAUGAAGAAUGUUGGACUAAAUUUUGAGAAUUCAGACUGCUUAAGAAAUUUGCUUCAGAAUCCCCAAAGGAUUCUGCAAGGAGCUAGAAAGAACAUUUUCUAACAUCAGUUACUUGUUUUAAUAAACUCCUUCGGGGUAAGAUUUUGAUUCCCACCACUGAUCAUAUCAUUAAAAAGUGUAUUCUCUGCACUAAC
ensembl:lncRNA novel transcript